CGGGGGGAGCAAGCGUUGUUCGGAUUUACUGGGCGUAAAGGGCGCGUAGGCGGCGUAACAAGUCACUUGUGAAAUCUCCGGGCUUAACCCGGAGCGGCCAAGUGAUACUGUUGUGCUAGAGUGCGGAAGGGGCUACUGGAAUUCUCGGUGUAGCGGUGAAAUGCGUAGAUAUCGAGAGGAACACCUGCGGCGAAGGCGGGUAGCUGGGCCGACACUGACGCUGAGGCGCGAAAGCCAGGGGAGCGAACGGGAUUAGAUACCCUGGUAGUCCUAGCCCUAAACGAUGGAUGCUUGGUGUGAUCGGUACCCAAUCCGAUCGUGCCGGAGCUAACGCGUUAAGCAUCCCGCCUGGGGAGUACGGUCGCAAGGCUG
rnacentral:rRNA from 1 species